UGCUCAGGACGAACGCUGGCGGCGUGCCUAAUACAUGCAAGUCGAGCGGAACCAUUGGAGCUUGCUCCUUUGGUUUAGCGGCGGACGGGUGAGUAACACGUGGGCAACCUGCCCUGCAGAUCGGGAUAACUCCGGGAAACCGGUGCUAAUACCGAAUAGUUUGCGGCCUCUCAUGAGGCUGUACGGAAAGACGGUUUCGGCUGUCACUGCAGGAUGGGCCCGCGGCGCAUUAGCUAGUUGGUGAGGUAACGGCUCACCAAGGCCACGAUGCGUAGCCGACCUGAGAGGGUGAUCGGCCACACUGGGACUGAGACACGGCCCAGACUCCUACGGGAGGCAGCAGUAGGGAAUCUUCCGCAAUGGACGAAAGUCUGACGGAGCAACGCCGCGUGAGUGAAGAAGGUUUUCGGAUCGUAAAACUCUGUUGUGAGGGAAGAACAAGUACCAAUUAACUACUGUACCUUGACGGACCUCACC
rnacentral:rRNA from 1 species